CCAGGCGGAAGGGCAGUCUUUGGGGGAGGCUGUGACCAGGGCUGCGGCAGCACAACCCAAAUGAGGCGGUGAAUUUUCAGGUCGUUUUCUACGGAUCGGCUCUAGUCCGCCUUCCUGGCCCUUGUUUGGUGGGACCGAAUGGGACAGGGUCAUUUGGAGACCUCGACCUCGAGAGGAUAUUUUAUGAAACAAAACCUAAGAUUACUGUACACAUAUUGACACUAUUCUCAGAGUAAGUGUAGGCCUACCGAUGUCAGUUCCCAGCCAUAAUGCAUACCAGUAACCUUAGCUUCAAAACAAUCAUCAAAGUUCUUGACUUUACAGGCAACCCAGAUUGCAAUCUAAAGAGAUCAGGGCUGGGGGUGUGACUCCCAGAGACCUUGCCUCCCUAUCCCUAGUACUACAAAAGACAGACGGACACAGAGAGGGCAUGUACUCUCAAUGACAGUGGAUGACGCACCUCACUUUACAUCCACUCAUGUACUCAGCUCUGAUUACUGAGCAGCUACUUACUAUGUGCUUCAGGCAUGGGUUAGAGUUCAGGAAUACACGGACCUUCCUUUGAGACAGGGUUCCUGCUUUGGAUGUCACUAUCUGAGCAGAGAGAGGCACAGAGAGGCCAUCACAAUACAAGAUGAUGGGGAUACAGGGACAGAAGAAAGGUUGGAGCUGCCAGACUAAGGCCUUUCCAGCAAAAGUUAAAAGAACAGAGUUCAGCCUGGCCUUCAACUCCCUAUGUACCCCCAGGCUGGCCUGGAACUUGCCAUCCUCCUGCCUCAGCCUCCCAAGGGCUGGGAAAACAGAUGUGUCACCAUGCCCAGCUUCAGGGAGUUUCUGCUCUGUCCCCAUUUGCCUUUUCCUGCCUCUCCCUCCGUGCCCUUCCCUGUGACGUGAACUGGUUUCUGGGAAGCUCACUGCUGGUUCCAGGACUGAGGACCAGCUGAGAAGCCUGGAUCUGAGAGACCGUUUGGCCAGAGGACAAGCUGUGGAGUCAGUCGCCUUGGGGUGGGAGUCUUCUCUUUUGCCCACCUUCUAAGCCACUGUGUGGCUGUUCCAGGAAGCCAAGCCCAGAAGCGCAGUCCCAGGCGGCCCAGAGGCAGGUUCUGGGCUCUCGGAGAAGGCAGGUGGAAUUACAAGGAGAGAGGGAAAUGGAGGCAUCUGGACGGCCAAACCUUCCCCUCCUGGUGACUUCCUACAGCAACAGCUCCUUCGCCCAGAGCCCGGGAGCCCAGGCUGUGCACGGGGACAGAACCUCACCUUGUUCUCUGCCGAAGGCCCUGGGUGUGCAGGGGCUGGGACCAAGGAUGCAGAAAAAGCAGGUGCAGCCCGGGCCUUCCCUGAGGCUGCACGGAACCUGAGCUUCCGGUCCCUGAGCCUUCGGCUCUUAAGCGACUUAGAGGACCAGUGACAGGGCUGCUUGAGGAGAUAGCCUGUGGAUUUAGCUCUUUCCUUCUCUCAUCGGAUCCCUAAUUUCAAAUUAUUGAAAACCACAAACCCGUGACUCACUUGGAUUGACAAAGGCCUCCAAUCCGGG
rnacentral:lncRNA from 1 species